ACGACAUCGAAAGCUUGCUUUUGAUGGGCGUCGACCGGCGCACGGGUGAGUAACGCGUAUCCAACCUGCCCAUCACUUGGGGAUAACCUUGCGAAAGUAAGACUAAUACCCAAUGAUAUCUCUAGAAGACAUCUGAAGGAGAUUAAAGAUUUAUCGGUGAUGGAUGGGGAUGCGUCUGAUUAGCUUGUUGGCGGGGUAACGGCCCACCAAGGCGACGAUCAGUAGGGGUUCUGAGAGGAAGGUCCCCCACAUUGGAACUGAGACACGGUCCAAACUCCUACGGGAGGCAGCAGUGAGGAAUAUUGGUCAAUGGGCGAGAGCCUGAACCAGCCAAGUAGCGUGCAGGAUGACGGCCCUAUGGGUUGUAAACUGCUUUUAUAAAGGAAUAAAGUGAGUCUCGUGAGACUUUUUGCAUGUACCUUAUGAAUAAGGACCGGCUAAUUCCGUGCCAGCAGCCGCGGUAAUACGGAAGGUCCGGGCGUUAUCCGGAUUUAUUGGGUUUAAAGGGAGCGUAGGCCGGAGAUUAAGCGUGUUGUGAAAUGUA
rnacentral:rRNA from 1 species